rnacentral:rRNA from 1 species
UGAUCCUGGCUCAGAACGUACGCUGGCGGCACGCCUAACACAUGCAAGUCGAACGAAGUAGCAAUACUUAGUGGCAGACGGGUGAGUAACAUGUAGGUAUCUGCCCUUUGGCCUGGAAUAACACGAGGAAACUUGUGCUAAUACCGGAUAAGUCUUUACGGAGAAAGCUUUAUGCACCAUUGGAUGAGCCUGCACUUGAUUAGUUUGUUGGUGGGGUAAUGGCCUACCAAGACUGUGAUCAAUAGCUGAUUUGAGAGGAUGAUCAGCCACAUUGGGACUGAGACACGGCCCAAACUCCUACGGGAGGCAGCAGUGGGGAAUCUUGCACAAUGGAGGAAACUCUGAUGCAGCGAUGCCGCGUGAGUGAAGAAGGCCCUUGGGUUGUAAAGCUCUUUCGUCGGGGAAGAAAAUGACUGUACCCGAAUAAGAAGGUCCGGCUAACUUCGUGCCAGCAGCCGCGGUAAUACGAAGGGACCUAGCGUAGUUCGGAAUUACUGGGCUUAAAGAGUUCGUAGGUGGUUGAAAAAGUUAGUGGUGAAAUCCCAGAGCUUAACUCUGGAACUGCCAUUAAAACUUUUCAGCUAGAGUAUGAUAGAGGAAAGCAGAAUUUCUAGUGUAGAGGUGAAAUUCGUAGAUAUUAGAAAGAAUACCAAUUGCGAAGGCAGCUUUCUGGAUCAUUACUGACACUGAGGAACGAAAGCAUGGGUAGCGAAGAGGAUUAGAUACCCUCGUAGU